UACAGAGGGGGCAAGCGUUAUUCGGAAUUAUUGGGCGUAAAGGGCGCGUAGGCGGCUUGGCAAGUGGAUGGUGAAAUCCCUCGGCUUAACCGAGGAACUGCCGUCCAAACUGCUUCGCUUGAGACCGGGAGAGGUGAGUGGAAUUCCCAGUGUAGCGGCGAAAUGCGUAGAUAUUGGGAGGAACACCAGUGGCGAAGGCGGCUCACUGGACCGGUACUGACGCUGAUGCGCGAAAGCCAGGGGAGCAAACGGG
rnacentral:rRNA from 1 species